rnacentral:tRNA from 1 species
GCCUUGGUGGUGGAAUUGGUAUACACGCACGACUCAAAAUCGUGUGCCGAAAGGCUUGAGGGUUCGACUCCCUCCCAAGGCA